GGAGGGGUGUCCGAGUGGCUUAAGGUGCAUGCUUGGAAAGCAUGUGUGCGGUAACACGUACCGAGGGUUCGAAUCCCUCCCUCUCCG
rnacentral:tRNA from 1 species